rnacentral:rRNA from 1 species
UACGGGGGGAGCAAGCGUUGUUCUGAUUUACUGGGCGUAAAGGGCGCGUAGGCGGUCGUGACAAGUCACUUGUGAAAUCUCCGGGCUUAACUCGGAACGGUCAAGUGAUACUGUCGGACUAGAGUACAGAAGGGGCAACUGGAAUUCUCGGUGUAGCGGUGAAAUGCGUAGAUAUCGAGAGGAACACCUGCGGCGAAGGCGGCUACCUGGACCGGUUCUGACGCUGAGGCGCGAAAGCGUGGGUAGCAAACAGG